UAACACGUAGGGGGCGAGCGUUGUCCGGAUUUAUUGGGCGUAAAGAGCUCGUAGGCGGUUUCGUUAGUCGGGUGUGAAAACCCCAGGCUCAACCUGGGGACGCCACCCGAUACUGCGAUGACUAGAGUCCGGUAGGGGAGUGUGGAAUUCCUGGUGUAGCGGUGAAAUGCGCAGAUAUCAGGAGGAACACCAACGGCGAAGGCAGCACUCUGGGCCGGAACUGACGCUGAGGAGCGAAAGCGUGGGUAGCGAACAGGAUUAGAUACCCUGGUAGUCCACGCCGUAAACGUUGGGCACUAGGUGUGGGAUCUUUCCAACGGAUUCCGUGCCGUAGCUAACGCAUUAAGUGCCCCGCCUGGGGAGUACGGCCGCAAGGCUA
rnacentral:rRNA from 1 species